GUGUGUGGUGGGGGUAGGUUGCUGAGAACCUUUGGAGCCCAAAUCUAAAGCAGUUCCACAGACUUCCUUAGGCCUGCGGGCCCCGUCGCCACGCCCCUGCCCUAGCACCUCGGGAUGCUCUGGAGAUACAGAGGCACCCUCUCUUGGCCUAAAGAGGGAGUCUGGAAAACGUCGAGAAGUUCCUCACCUCGAGGUCUUAGAAAGCCCAGGCCUUGUCCGUUCUGGUGAAACUUUGUGCUGCUCUGCAGAGGGAGAUUCACCGGAUGGCUUCUGGCGGCGACUACCAGGACCACGCUGGACCUGAGUCGAGUUCCUCACCGUUUUAUCCCGAUUGUUCUACGCGUCCUGUCCUGCCAAGCCCUUCUCAGAAGCAGAGAGGACCAGAGGACACCUCUUUGCGGUUCGACGACCCGAUGUGAAAAUCCAGGAAGAAGAUCGGGUUGCAUUGCUGAGGGGAUGCCGCGCCCGUCCGGCCACCACCUCCGCAUGGAGGCUGCGGGUUCCUGGGGACCCCGCCUAGUUCGGUGCUUUUCUCUCCCCUUACUCUCUUGGCGCAGCAGGGGCGCCCAGCUGGAAAUCAAAGAGGGGCGGGAGGAAUUCUGAAGAUGCGAAGGGACAUCAGGGACCAGAAUGAAGCUAGGCCUGGAUGCAUCCGCCCGGGACACGGGAGCCACAGGGAGCUGGGCGCAGGCACCGUUCUAAUCGCCGACCGCUAUUAAAAAUAAAACCGCGACCCGUCGUCAUAGCGACCACAACAACAGCGGCCGC
rnacentral:lncRNA from 1 species